rnacentral:rRNA from 1 species
ACGGCGUGCCUUUUGCAUAAUGAGCCUACGAGUUACUUUAACUAGCGAGGUUAAGGCCUUCAGGGCCGGAUCCGUAGCGAAAGCGAGUCUGAAUAGGGCACAAUAGUAUGUUGAUGUAAACCCGAAACCAAGUGACCUACCCAUGUCCAGGUUGAAGGUGCGGUAAAACGCACUGGAGGACCGAACCCGUGUAUGUUGAAAAAUGCUGGGAUGAGGUGUGGGUAGAGGUGAAAUUCCAAACGAACUUGGAGAUAGCUGG